AAUACUUCCGCAGGGCAAGUUUCUUUUCACGGAAAACGAUUCUUUCAUUUUAAUCAACUCGUAGAUCUUGCAAUAGUACAUUGGUGCAGUGUGUACAGGUUUUCUAAUCGAGACGCUGCUGGAGGAGAAGAGAAGGGGAGAAGUUUUUUUCCUGCUACCUGUUGCCCAAGAGUGAAAAGAUGGUGUACUGGAGAGGUACUUAUGCUACCCCCGGUGAGAGGGCCCGACCUAAACGUCUGAUGUCAUUGGAGCCUGUAAAUCAGAUUCUAGCCAUAUUGAUGAGACAGAAAGUUGGAUUGUAUCUUGAAGAUAUUGCUGAUUGCUUUGACAGACUUUCUCUUCAGAUAAGACCAGAGCUAUCAUCUUUUUUCUACAGGAUUCUCACCUGUUAGGAGCCUCGUCGAGGAUAUUCCACAUCUGAGUCAUGCCUGAAACAUGAACAUUCAUGAAUUAUCAAUUUCGUGUGCAUAUGAUUUGCACUUUAAAUGAUUAAAUGUGUUUGUCAUUAAAUAUGCAAUUAAUCAAUAAGAUGUAAAGUGACAUGGGAUAA